CAACCGGCAAAGAAGAUAAGGAGCCUUCAUCCCUAUGAUCACCAAGGGCAGAGAGAAAAAGGACCCCCUAGCAACCAAUUGCACCGGCGCAGAGUGCAUCGAGAGAAAAUACGUCAACCGAAAAAGAGGGGGGACUAUAAAAACAAAAAGGUCAAAGGGGGAAGGUGCGCCGUGGCAGAGUGGAAACUCCCCGGCCGCCCAGCGCUGUUUUUUGCUUAAUACCGCUUGCUUAAUAAAUUCUUGUUAAUUGAUUUAUCUAUAAUUAGCCUCCCCAAUUGACUUUGUCCAUAACAAAUUUGGUGCCGUGACUCGGAUAAGGGCAAACGGGCAGGAAUUCCUAAUCAGGGAGGCGCCCCGCUGCCUUUUCAGCGGCCCUGGUGCAGGCUUUUCCUUCUCGGGCCCUUACCGACGAACCUAAAUUCGGUAUUAAGCAAAAGGGAUACCGGUAACCCCGUAAUCUUUGUGCACGAAGCCCGGGCGAAGACGCAGGACAGCAAACUGCAGUCAGAACCGCCGAGAAGGGAUGGACACAUGCGAGCCGAAUAAAGGGACCGAUUACUGCUGCUGCUGCCGAAGACCCCUGGAGAAUAACCAGCCAACCCGGAGAUCUUAAGGUCACAUUUAAACGGACUUAAUGGACUCAGUAAAAAUUGUACAAACCA